rnacentral:rRNA from 1 species
GACAGAGGGUGCAAACGUUGUUCGGAAUUACUGGGCGUAAAGCGCGUGUAGGCUGUUUCGCAAGUCGGAUGUGAAGGCCCUGGGCUCAACCUAGGAAGUGCACUCGAAACUGCGAAACUGGAGUCCUGGAGAGGAAGGCGGAAUUCUCGGUGUAGAGGUGAAAUUCGUAGAUAUUCGGAAGAACACCAGUGGCGAAGGCGACUUACUGGACACAUACUGACGCUGAGGUGCGAAAGCGUGGGGAGCAAACAGG